UAGCGGACGGGUGAGUAACGCGUGGGUAACCUGCCUCAUACAGGGGGAUAACAGUUAGAAAUGACUGCUAAUACCGCAUAAGACCACAGCACCGCAUGGUGCAGGGGUAAAAACUCCGGUGGUAUGAGAUGGACCCGCGUCUGAUUAGGUAGUUGGUGGGGUAACGGCCUACCAAGCCGACGAUCAGUAGCCGACCUGAGAGGGUGACCGGCCACAUUGGGACUGAGACACGGCCCAA
rnacentral:rRNA from 1 species